rnacentral:rRNA from 1 species
AUGUACUCGUCACAAUCGGUGAGUCGCAUCAACAAUAUUUGCACCUCUCUCAUCAAUGCGCAGAAGGGAAACCUCUCCGUCGCCUCCUACUUCGCCACCAUGUGUGGCUACGCCGAUGAGCUGGCCGUGGCGGGCAAGGCGAUCCUCGACGAUGAGCUCAUCUCCUACAUCAUCCACGGGCUCGAUGCUGACUACCAGCCUCUGAUCUCUACUCUGGACGCUCGUGUGACCCCGGUCACCCUCGACGAGCUGUUCGCUAUGCUCUCCAACUUUGAUGAGAGGAUGGUGCACUUCCACGGGCCCGGCGGCGGCGGCUUCAAAUCCUCCGCCUCUCCCGGUCGUGGCGGCUCCUCUCGGCGUAGAGGCUCCUCCCGUGGCAGGGGGAGAUCCAGUGGAGGCGGAAACGGCAGCGGCUCCAACUCCCGCAAUGGCGCGGGCAUGCUUCCUCCAACAACCGCACUCGCCGUGGCGGCGGCAACCCUCGUGCACGCCCCGAUGCUCCUCGCUGCCAGAUAUGUGGCAAGUUGGGUCACACAACAAAAGAUUGCUGGUACCGCUAUGAAGAGGAUGACGACUCCUCUCAAGAUGAUGACAAGGUGGUGGCGGCUACAGAUGGCUCCUACGGCAUCGACACCAACUGGUAUGUCGACAGCGGCGCCACCAACCACAUCACCAACAAGCUCGAGAAGGUGA